rnacentral:lncRNA from 10 species
CUGUGAUGUUUAAGAAAGACCAAAGGGACCAGCUUGGCUGGGGGAGUGAAGGAGGAGAGAGGAAGCCAGAGAUGGGAUCAGACAGGCUGUAUGGGAAGCAUGGCGGUAUCUGCUCGGCUUCUGGGGAGGCCUCAGGAAAACUACAAUCAUGGCGGAAGGUGAAGGGGGAGCCAGCACUUCACAUGGCCAGGAGCAGCAGGAAGUGGAAGAGGUGCUACACACUUUUAAACAGCCACAUCUCAUGAGAACUCACUAUCUCCACAACAGCACCAAGAGGGAUGGUGUUAAACCAUGAGAAACCAGCCCCAUGAUCCAAUCACCUCCUACCAAGCUCCAUCUUCAACAAUGGGAAUUACAGUUCAACGUGAAAUUUGAGCAAAGACACAGAUUGAAACCAUACCAGCCAUAGAUGGGUGCUGCACAGCCAGGGCUUUCCGUUUGGAGCUGCCCAUUAAAUACCCAGUUGCUGUGCCCAUUCACUGGCAGGCCAAUUAAUACUUUCUAAUAUAAUUUAAUAAACCCUUAACUUUGUGAGUGGCCAAAUGGCUACUACUACUCAGUUUUCAAGACUCAGUUCCAAUAUGCAGAUAAAGUUGUGAAAGAAUGGAGAAAACUGUUAAGAUUAGUUAUCUCUGGGAAAGGAGAGUAGGUAGGGGUGAUCAUGAGAGGGACUUUUCACUGUAUAACCUCCUAUGCUAUUUGAAUAUCUCACAAUAUUAGUGUAUUAUUUUUAUAAUUGGAUUUUCAAAAGUUAGAGAAAUGGGGGUGCCGUCUUUGUUUUUUUUGGUUUAAAAAUGACCUAAAAUGUCUUGUAAAGAAGGCGCAAAAGCCAUAUGGGAAACAAUAAGUAAAAAUACCUUAAGUAGUUUUUAAAAAUUAUUGUCUUAAACAUCAUUGAGAGCUGUUGUCUCAUUUAAAAUGUACUCAUUAACACGCCAAAGGAUAAAAUAAAUAAGUAAAUAAGGAGCA